rnacentral:rRNA from 1 species
ACGAAGGCAGCAGUGGGGAAUAUUGCACAAUGGGGGAAACCCUGAUGCAGCGACGCCGCGUGAGUGAAGAAGUAUUUCGGUAUGUAAAGCUCUAUCAGCAAGGAAGAAAAUGACGGUACUUGACUAAGAAGCCCCGGCUAACUACGUGCCAGCAGCCGCGGUAAUACGUAGGGGGCAAGCGUUAUCCGGAUUUACUGGGUGUAAAGGGAGCGUAGACGGCAUAGCAAGUCUGAAGUGAAAUGCGGGGGCUCAACCCCUGAACUGCUUUGGAAACUGUUAAGCUAGAGUGCAGGAGAGGUAAGUGGAAUUCCUAGUGUAGCGGUGAAAUGCGUAGAUAUUAGGAGGAACACCAGUGGCGAAGGCGGCUUACUGGACUGUAACUGACGUUGAGGCUCGAAAGCGUGGGGAGCAAACAGGAUUAGAUACCCUGGUA